rnacentral:rRNA from 1 species
GACGAGGGAGCACCACAACGGGUGGAGCUUGCGGUUUAAUUGGAUUCAACGCCGGAAUCUUACCGGGACCGACAGCAAUAUGAAGGCCAGGCUGAAGACUUUGCCGGAUUAGCUGAGAGGUGGUGCAUGGCCGUCGUCAGUUCGUACUGUGAAGCAUCCUGUUAAGUCAGGCAACGAGCGAGACCCACGCCCACAGUUGCCAGCGUACUCUCUGGAGUGACGGGUACACUGUGGGGACCGCCGCUGCUAAAGCGGAGGAAGGAAUGGGCAACGGUAGGUCAGUAUGCCCCGAAUAUCCCGGGCUACACGCGAGCUACAAUGGUUGGUACAAUGGGUAUCUACCCCGAAAGGGGACGGGAAUCUCCUAAAACCAAUCUUAGUUCGGAUUGAGGGCUGCAACUCGCCCUCAUGAAGCUGGGAUCCGUAGUAAUCGCGUUUCAACAGAACGCGGUGAAUACGUCCCUGCUCCUU